rnacentral:misc_RNA from 1 species
AGCAGCCGCGGUAAUUCCAGCUCCAAUAGCGUAUAUUAAAGUUGUUGCAGUUAAAAGCUCGUAGUUGAAUUUCGGGAUUAAUAUGUUGGUCGUGCCUUGGUACGUACUGGCAUUAUUGGUUCCUACCUUCUGAAGAACCUCGAUGUCAUUAAUUUGGUGUCUUGGGGAAUCAGGACUGUUACUUUGAAAAAUUAGAGUGUUUAAAGCAGGCUCGCGCUUGAAUACAUUAGCAUGGAAUAAUGAAAUAGGACGUUUGAUUCUAUUUUGUUGGUUUCUAGGAUCGACGUAAUGAUUAAUAGGGAUAGUUGGGGGCAUUAGUAUUCAAUUGUCAGAGGUGAAAUUCUUGGAUUUAUUGAAGACUGACUACUGCGAAAGCAUUUGCCAAGGAUGUUUUCAUUAAUCAAGAACGAAAGUUAGGGAUCGAAGACGAUCAGAUACCGUCGUAGUCUUAACCAUAAACUAUGCCGACUAGGGAUCGGAUGAUGUUAAUUUUUUAAUGUACUCAUUCGGCGCCUUAACC